rnacentral:rRNA from 1 species
UUACCGACAAAGAAUUUCAGUUCAACUUUAAGAUUACCACAAGAAUAAAAAAUCAAAAUGUAAUCUUAAAAUUUAACCUGAAGAGGGACAGCUCUUCAGGAAUGGAAACAACCUUAUAUAGUGAAUAAACCUAUAUAUUUUAACCAUUGUUGGCCUAAAGGCAGCCACCAAUAAAGAAAGCGUUAAAGCUCAACAUUACAAGCCUAUUAAUUCAACAAACCAUAAUGAAUUCCUAUAAACACUGAUCGGGUUAAUCUAUAACCAUAUAGAUGAGAUACUGUUAACAUGAGUAACAAGAACACUGUUCUCCAAGCACAAGCCUAUAACAACCCGGAUGACCAUUGUUAGUUAACAUUUACAGGUAAAACACCACCAAUAAAACUAACCUAAACUACAAAAAUGUUAAUCCAACACAGGCGUGCAGCAAGGAAAGAUUAAAAGAAGUAAAAGGAACUCGGCAAACAAGAAUCCCGCCUGUUUACCAAAAACAUCACCUCUAGCAUAAAAAGUAUUAGAGGCACUGCCUGCCCAGUGACAAACGUUAAACGGCCGCGGUAUCCUGACCGUGCAAAGGUAGCAUAAUCACUUGUUCCUUAAUUGGGGACUGGAAUGAAUGGCCUCACGAGGAUUCAACUGUCUCUUACCUCUAAUCAGUGAAAUUGACCUCCCCGUGAAGAGGCGGGGAUACAAUAAUAAGACGAGAAGACCCUAUGGAGCUUUAAUUUCCUGUCUUAACUACUAAACCAUUAACCCUAUUGGAAUAAAAAAAAAAGAAAUAAGCCAGUAAUUUAGGUUGGGGUGACCUCGGAGAAUAAAACAACCUCCGAAUGAUUUUAACUUAGACCAACAAGUCAAAGUAUUAAAAAUCAAAUUGACCCAAUUCAUUUGAUCAACGGACCAAGUUACCCUAGGGAUAACAGCGCAAUCCUAUUCAAGAGUCCAUAUCGACAAUUAGGGUUUACGACCUCGAUGUUGGAUCAGGACAUCCCAAUGGUGCAGCAGCUAUUAAUGGUUCGUUUGUUCAACGAUUAAAGUCCUACGUGAUCUGAGUCAGACGGAUAUCA